rnacentral:rRNA from 1 species
AUUGAACGCUGGCGGCAUGCUUUACACAUGCAAGUCGAACGGUAACAGGUUAAGCUGACGAGUGGCGAACGGGUGAGUAAUGCAUCGGAACGUGCCCGGUCGUGGGGGAUAACGCAGCGAAAGCUGCGCUAAUACCGCAUACGAUCUGAGGAUGAAAGCGGGGGACCGUAAGGCCUCGCGCGAUCGGAGCGGCCGAUGUCAGACUAGGUAGUUGGUGGGGUAAAGGCUCACCAAGCCGACGAUCUGUAGCUGGUCUGAGAGGACGACCAGCCACACUGGGACUGAGACAGGGCCCAGACUCCUACGGGAGUCAGCAGUGGGGAAUUUUGGACAAUGGGCGCAAGCCUGAUCCAGCAAUGCCGCGUGCAGGAAGAAGGCCUUCGGGUUGUAAACUGCUUUUGUACGGAGCGAAAAGGCUCUCUCUAAUACAGGGGGCUCAUGACGGUACCGUAAGAAUAAGCACCGGCUAACUACGUGCCAGCAGCCGCCGUAA